UACGUAGGGACCAAGCGUUUGUUCGGAUUUACUGGGCGUAAAGGGCGCGUAGGCGGCGUGUUAAGUCAGCUGUGAAAUCUCCAAGCUUAACUUGGAACGGUCAGCUGAUACUGAUGUGCUAGAGUGCAGAAAGGGCAAUCGGAAUUCUUGGUGUAGCGGUGAAAUGCGUAGAUAUCAAGAGGAACACCUGAGGCGAAGGCGGGUUGCUAGGCUGACACUGACGCUGAGGCGCGAAAGCUAGGGGUAGCAAACGGGG
rnacentral:rRNA from 1 species